CAGCCGCCGCGGGAAUACAGAGGGUGCGAGCGUUAAUCGGAUUUACUGGGCGUAAAGCGCACGUAGGCGGCUUUGUAAGUUAGAGGUGAAAGCCUGGAGCUCAACUCCAGAAUUGCCUUUAAGACUGCAUCGCUUGAAUCCAGGAGAGGUGAGUGGAAUUCCGAGUGUAGAGGUGAAAUUCGUAGAUAUUCGGAAGAACACCAGUGGCGAAGGCGGCUCACUGGACUGGUAUUGACGCUGAGGUGCGAAAGCGUGGGGAGCAAACAGGAUUAGAGACCCGCGUAGUCCCUGUCUCUUAUAC
rnacentral:rRNA from 1 species